CGGCUUAACUNUUGUGCAGCAGCNNCGGUAAUACAAAGGUCUCAAGCGUUGUUCGGAUUCAUUGGGCGUAAAGGGUGCGUAGCGGCNCGGUAAGUCGGGUGUAAAUCUCGGGGCUCAACUCCGAAACUGCAUUUGAUACUGGCGUGCUUGAGGACUGGAGAGGAGACUGGAAUUUACGGUGUAGCGGUGAAAUGCGUAGAUAUCGUAAGNAAGACCAGUGGCGAAGGCGGGUCUCUGGACAGUUCCUGACGCUGAGACACGAAGGCCAGGGGAGCAAACGGGAUUAGAUACCCCGGUAGUCCUGGCAGUAAACGGUGCACGUUUGGUGUGGGAGGAUUCGACCCCUUCUGCGCCGGAGCUAACGCGUUAAACGUGCCGCCUGGGGAGUACGGUCGCAAGAUUAAAACUCAAAGAAAUUGACGGGGGCCCGCACAAGCGGUGGAGUAUGUGGCUCAAUUCGAUGCAACGCGAAGAACCUUACCUGGCCUUGACAUGCAUCUCUAAGUUGGUGAAAGCCAGCGAGUCCCGAAAGGGACNAUUCGCUCAG
rnacentral:rRNA from 1 species